rnacentral:tRNA from 1 species
UGUCCAGGGAUGGGAAUCGAACCCACAAUGUCCCGCUUACCGGACAGAUGCCAUGUCCACUAGACUACUCUGGAC